UACGCAGGGUGCGAGCGUUAAUCGGAAUUACUGGGCGUAAAGCGUGCGCAGGCGGCGCGUUAAGACAGGUGUGAAAGCCCCGAGCUUAACUUGGGAAUUGCGCUUGUGACUGGCGAGCUGGAGUGUGGCAGAGGGAGGUGGAAUUCCACGUGUAGCAGUGAAAUGCGUAGAGAUGUGGAGGAACACCGAUGGCGAAGGCAGCCUCCUGGGCCAGCACUGACGCUCAUGCACGAAAGCGUGGGGAGCAAACAGG
rnacentral:rRNA from 1 species